AAAAGUCGUAACAAGGUUUCCGUAGGUGAACCUGCGGAAGGAUCAUUAACGAGUUUUGAAACGAGUUGUAGCUGGCCUUCCGAGGCAUGUGCACGCUCUGCUCAUCCACUCUACCCCUGUGCACUUACUGUAGGUUGGCGUGGGCUCCUUAACGGGAGCAUUCUGCCGGCCUAUGUAUACUACAAACACUUUAAAGUAUCAGAAUGUAAACGCGUCUAACGCAUCUAUAAUACAACUUUUAGCAACGGAUCUCUUGGCUCUCGCAUCGAUGAAGAACGCAGCGAAAUGCGAUAAGUAAUGUGAAUUGCAGAAUUCAGUGAAUCAUCGAAUCUUUGAACGCACCUUGCGCUCCUUGGUAUUCCGAGGAGCAUGCCUGUUUGAGUGUCAUGGAAUUCUCAACUUAUAAAUCCUUGUGAUCUAUAAGCUUGGACUUGGAGGCUUGCUGGCCCUUGUUGGUCGGCUCCUCUUGAAUGCAUUAGCUCGAUUCCGUACGGAUCGGCUCUCAGUGUGAUAAUUGUCUACGCUGUGACCGUGAAGUGUUUUGGCGAGCUUCUAACCGUCCAUUAGGACAACUUUUUAACAUCUGACCUCAAAUCAGGUAGGACUACCCGCUGAACUUAAGCAUAUCAA
rnacentral:rRNA from 1 species